rnacentral:rRNA from 1 species
GACGAACGCUGGCGGCGUGCUUAACACAUGCAAGUCGAACGAUGAAGCCGGAGCUUGCUCUGGUGAAUUAGUGGCGAACGGGUGAGUAACACGUGAGUAACCUGCCCUUGACUCUGGGAUAACUGCUAGAAAUGGUAGCUAAUACCGGAUACGACCCUCGGAGGCAUCUCCAGGGGGUGGAAAGAAUUUCGGUCAAGGAUGGACUCGCGGCCUAUCAGCUAGUUGGUGAGGUAAUGGCUCACCAAGGCGACGACGGAUAGCCGGCCUGAGAGGGUGACCGGCCACACUGGGACUGAGAUACGGCCCAGACUCCUACGGGAGGCAGCAGUGGGGAAUAUUGCACAAUGGGCGCAAGCCUGAUGCAGCGACGCCGCGUGAGGGACGACGGCCUUCGGGUUGUAAACCUCUUUCAGCACCGACGAAGCGCAAGUGACGGUAGGUGCAGAAGAAGGACCGGCCAACUACGUGCCAGCAGCCGCCGUAA